UUAUAGAAUCUGCUGAGUUGGAAGAGACCCACAAGGAACCUCAGCUAGCUCAGGACUCCUGUUUCCAGCUGUGCUAUCUGCAUAAGAAUGAUCGAUUCCAGCUCUGCAUAUGCAAUCUGCAUCAUUCCCCCAUGGGAACAGAGAAGUGCCGGGCCGUACAGUCAGGCUCAGAUACCAGCCUCUCCAGACUUCCAGGGCAACAUAACCUAAGCUGAGCUGCUCUCUAGAAGUUAACAUUUCACAUGAAGUCCAAUACAGUACAACUGUGAUCACCUCCACUGAGAUUCUGACUGCUGAUCAUUCCCUGUUGGAUGUCUCAGGCCCCGCAGGUUUUGCCAGACAAAUAAAUAAAUAAAAACCUUGCCAGAGAAA